rnacentral:rRNA from 1 species
UGGGGAAUAUUGGACAAUGGGCGGAAGCCUGAUCCAGCAACGCCGCGUGAGGGAUGACGGCCUUCGGGUUGUAAACCUCUUUCAGCACAGACGAAGCGCCCGUUGUGGGUGGUGACGGUAUGUGCAGAAGAAGCACCGGCCAACUACGUGCCAGCAGCCGCGGUAAUACGUAGGGUGCGAGCGUUGUCCGGAAUUAUUGGGCGUAAAGGGCUCGUAGGCGGUUUGUCGCGUCGGGAGUGAAAUCCACUGGCUUAACUGGUGGCUUGCUUUCGAUACGGGCAGACUGGAGGUAUGCAGGGGAGAACGGAAUUCCUGGUGUAGCGGUGAAAUGCGCAGAUAUCAGGAGGAACACCGGUGGCGAAGGCGGUUCUCUGGGCAUGUCCUGACGCUGAGGAGCGAAAGUGUGGGGAGCGAACA